CACCUGGGAAUGUUAUUAAAAUACAGGUUCUGAUUUAGUAGGUUUGGGGUGUGUCCUGAGACUGCACUUCUAACAAGCUUCCCAGUGAUACCAAUGCUGCUGGAAACCUUCAGAUUGGAUUUGCCCUAAGAGUCAGAAAAUAGAUUCAAGUAAUGUUAAUCCCUUCUUUCUAAAACCAUUGAAUUAAAGUUUGAAAUGGUUAUUUAAAGAAAAAC